UGAGAGCCUCUUGCCCUCUCUGGUCCCAGC
rnacentral:piRNA from 1 species